rnacentral:rRNA from 1 species
AAGUCGUAACAAGGUAGCCGUACCGGAAGGUGCGGCUGGAACAUCUCAUUUUAGAGC